rnacentral:rRNA from 1 species
UUGGGUGGCGCAGCUAACGCAUUAAGUUAUCCGCCUGGGGAGUACGGCCGCAAGGUUAAAACUCAAAGGAAUUGACGGGGGCCUGCACAAGCGUGGAGCAUGUGGUUUAAUUCGAAGCAACGCGCAGAACCUUACCAGCGUUUGACAUGGUAGGACGACUUCCAGAGAUGGAUUUCUUCCCUUCGGGGACCUACACACAGGUGCUGCAUGGCUGUCGUCAGCUCGUGUCGUGAGAUGUUGGGUUAAGUCCCGCAACGAGCGCAACCCUCGACUUUAGUUACCAUCAUUAAGUUGGGUACUUUAAAGUAACCGCCGGUGAUAAGCCGGAGGAAGGUGGGGAUGACGUCAAGUCCUCAUGGCCCUUACGCGCUGGGCUACACACGUGCUACAAUGGCAAGUACAGUGGGCAGCAAUCCCGCGAGGGUGAGCUAAUCUCCAAAACUUGUUCGUUCGGAUUGUUCUCUGCAACUCGAGAGCAUGAAGGCGGAAUCGCUAGU